GGGUUUUUGUUCUAUGUAUUCCCUCGAUCGAAGCCUUUCCUGUUCGGGAUGUUACGACCGCCCCUUCGGCUCAAGGACGUGUGAGAGUAGGGAGAUCGUUGCGAAUUCUGCUGCUGAGGCGAGAUGCGGGCCAAGUGGAAGAAGAAGCGUAUGAGGAGGCUCAAGAGGAAGCGCCGAAAGAUGAGGCAGAGAUCUAAGUAGGCCACUAUGGACGUGCUCAUUUCUUCAACAAAACAUCCCUGGCUGUGGUGGUGAGACUAAGUAGGCCGCUAUGGAUGUGCUCUGUCUUCAAGAAUACAUUCCUCGCUGUGGUGGUGGUUCUGAUUCCAUUCUCCACAUUUGGGGAUUAUUGGUGAGCUAGAGCUUUGCAUAGUGUUGCUUGUUGCUUAACUUCGUCAUUUAGGCAUUAAUUCAACUGUUUCGAGCAGUUUGAUGAUGGUGUCAGUUUAAUAUUUGGUUUCAGUUUAUUUUCAAACUUUGGUUAUUUCUUUUGGUCUAUAACAUGUAUCAACUGUCAGUUCUACACAUUUUAUCUUAUCUAGUUUUCUUUGAAGCUAAUCAAGCUUUUCCAAUUA